CUCCCCCUUCUAUCCUGUAACUAGUUCCGGCGCCGGCGCGCCGUUGAAGCACGAGCUCCCCUCCUCUCCUCUGGGUCGCGCCCAACGAGGACGCCAUUGCCGCCGGCGAGCGCGUAAACGUAGCGGCGGUGUGCUGUAGCUCCGGGGGACGACGAGGAACUACCAAAGAAGCCGGCUAUCUUUUGCGCCUCGAGGAUCUUAGGCUGUGCGGUUGAUAGGACUUGUCCAUCGUCCUUUAGAGCUCAGGAUCCGAGCCAUGGAGUCCAUGGCAAGUGUUGCUCUAAGCGUUGGGUCAACUACGGCAAUGGGAGAUGACGAUGAUGCCAACAGCUUCGCCGUGGGCACGAUCCGGCUAGUUGAAAAUGAUGGAAAUAGCUACCACACGCCAAAAUGUACUCGCAGUCUUCCGUU